CUACGGGGCGCUGCAGUGGGGAAUAUUGCACAAUGGGCGCAAGCCUGAUGCAGCCAUGCCGCGUGUAUGAAGAAGGCCUUCGGGUUGUAAAGUACUUUCAGCGGGGAGGAAGGGAGUAAAGUUAAUACCUUUGCUCCUUGACGUUACCCGCAGAAGAAGCACCGGCUAACUCCGUGCCAGCAGCCGCGGUAAUACGGCGGGUGCAAGCGGUAAUCGGAAUUACUGGGCGUAAAGCGCACGCAGGCGGUUUGUUAAGUCAGAUGUGAAAUCCCCGGGCUCAACCUGGGAACUGCAUCUGAUACUGGCAAGCUUGAGUCUCGUAGAGGGGGGUAGAAUUCCAGGUGUAGCGGUGAAAUGCGUAGAGAUCUGGAGGAAUACCGGUGGCGAAGGCGGCCCCCUGGACGAAGACUGACGCUCAGGUGCGAAAGCGUGGGGAGCAAACAGGAUUAGAUACCCUGGUAGUC
rnacentral:rRNA from 1 species